AACUUGAUCAUAGUUCUGGAAAUUGACCAUGAUACAAGAGUGUAUUCUUGAAGAAUUUCUUUCAUGAUGUUUAUCACUUACGCACUAAAAUGGUUUAGACUUUCCAUGUGAUGAAACCACAUUUAUGUAAUCACUUUUUUUUUUUUUGGCUUCUUGAGACAGGAUAUCUCUGUGUAAUUUAGCCUGGCUAUUUUGGAGCUUGCUCCAUAACCCAAGUUGGACUGCAACUCAGAGAUCUGCCUAUCUUUGCCUUCCAAGUUCUGAGAUUAAAAGUGUGCACCAAUAUCCCCAGCUAUGUAGUUACUUUUGGCCAAAAUUUAAAAUUUUAGGGCAGAGAGACACAUCUCCUACUGGCAGCACCCCAAUCUACUUCAAAGAAGAUGAUGGGCACUGAAGAACCUCCACUUGGAAUUUGCUUCUUGUGGCAAAGAUGGUGGUUGGGCAAAAAUCUGUCCUUACCAGGACAGCUGACGGCAUGCUGUCCAACCUGGACAAGCAGAACUGCUAAAUCACCUGCACAACUCUGUAGAGAGCCAAGAACUAUUUGGAAGAAGGAGAAAUGAGAAAGAGAACAAAAUAUUCUGUGGAUCACUACAUAAGAAGCAUGUUUAAAACUGACCAUCGAAGAAAUAUCAAAGGGAUAGAAGUUGAAUGCUAAAAGCCCCGUGCAGCAACUGUGAACAGUAAAGGUGAUGUUGGUACUUGUGAACAGUGAGCAUAGACUACAUGUUGAACAGUGUGGCAUUGUUGCAAAACCCUAAAACACUACGUAAAAGACAUUGUCGAUGUCUUUGGCUAUAACUAUCAGCUUCUUUGUACCCAAGCAUCAGCUGCAAGUGUUUCGAAACCGCAUCUCAGCAAUCACUCAGAUAUAAUGAAAAUAUUGAUGGUAAGAUGUAACCAUUAGUUAUUUUUUGGUUUUGCUUGUUUAUUUUUUUGCUUCAAAUGUACUCUAAGAGAAUUUGAUUUUCUUUACACAACUGAUUGAGGUCAUCUUAUAAUUCUGUAAAGGUAAUUAGAUGAGAUAGUUGCGUUUGGUGUCUUACCAAUUUUAUGCCUAUUUUUGGCACUUUUUACUUCAGUUUCUUUGUUUCCCACUGACCGAGAACUUUCAGUUUCCCAAAUUUUCUUUGAAACUGCCUUUGGCAUCUUCUUAGUUCCCUCAUUAAUAGGUGAAACAGACCUUGGACUCACAAAACUUGGAUGGUUUCUAUAUUAAUUAAUUAAUUGGUGAAGUUUC